rnacentral:tRNA from 1 species
GGGGUUGUGGCUCAGUGGUAGAGCUCUCGCCUAGCACGUGUGAGGCACUAGUUCCGUCCUCAGCACCA